rnacentral:rRNA from 1 species
UACGUAGGGGGCAAGCGUUGUCCGGAAUUAUUGGGCGUAAAGAGCUCGUAGGCGGCUUGUUGCGUCGGCUGUGAAAACCCGUGGCUUAACUGCGGGCUUGCAGCUGAUACGGGCGGGCUAGAGUUCGGUAGGGGAGACUGGAAUUCCUGGUGUAGCGGUGAAAUGCGCAGAUAUCAGGAGGAACACCGGUGGCGAAGGCGGGUCUCUGGGCCGAUACUGACGCUGAGGAGCGAAAGCGUGGGGAGCGAACAGG